rnacentral:rRNA from 1 species
UACGAAGGGGGCUAGCGUUGCUCGGAAUUACUGGGCGUAAAGCGCGUGUAGGCUGCUUCGCAAGUCGGGUGUGAAAGCCCUGGGCUCAACCUAGGAAGUGCACUCGAAACUGCGAAGCUGGAGUCCUGGAGAGGAAGGCGGAAUUCUCGGUGUAGAGGUGAAAUUCGUAGAUAUCGAGAGGAACACCGGUGGCGAAGGCGGCCUUCUGGACAGUGACUGACGCUGAGACGCGAAAGCGUGGGGAGCAAACAGG